rnacentral:ncRNA from 1 species
CGGUGAAUAAUUAAUGAACAUCAUACCGCGCGCUUGGUCCACGCAGUGGAACAAAGGGUUCCAAUCGAACAUGGCCAACAUGAAAGAUGGUAAUGUAUUGGCAACGAACAUUUUCCCUGAUGCAAGCGUAUU